AAAUUCUUUCAAAAAAAAAAAAAACAAACUUGAUGUUCUGUUUGUAGACAGCAAGAAUUGUUCUCUUCAUCUACAUGUCGUAACCAAUCUGUUGUCUUAAAGCUUAACUAGAUUUUGACCCGCGCUUUAUAUCAUUUUUAUAAAUGUCUAAUUACAUAAAUACUUUCAUUAUUAUAAUAUAUUGAUGAUAUAUGUUGUUUAUUUGAAGAUCAAAAUGUGUUACUCACUUACUUUAUACCGUUCUUACUGGACUGACAUCGGUUUGGACCAUGUUCUUACGAUAUAUUUUUAUCAUAGUCUAAAUUUAAUAUUUGAUUUUAUAAAUAUUUAUCGUGUGUUUAUUGUAAAAUAACACAGAGUUUUAUAAAUACAUGAUAAUUUCUAAUAAUAUAAGUUUUAAAAUUUUGUGCUCGAUUUAUUUAUAUUUGAAGUUUUUAAAAGAUAUGUGUAAAUUAUUUAUAUAUUUAAUUGUUAGUUGGAAAAAGAAAAUUUAAUAGUUAUUUUAUAUGUUUAAACAUGAAUUUUUAGAAAAUAGUAAUUAUGUUUUUGUAUUGGGCUCAAAUAUGUUUAUACAUGUUAAGUUUUAGAAAUUAUCAGACGUAAGAGCCCGUAUGAAAAAAGAUUAAUCAGCGUAUUGGGCUCAAAUAAUGUUUUCGUAAACUUGACCCACCCAAGUCGAGUACUUGGUCAUUUUUUUUGUUGGCCAAUUUAGUACUUGGUCGUAAAGACCGUUUACGUGUUGAAAUAAAAGAACAGAAAGGAAAGAAAGAUAAAAAAAGGACAGAUUCUUAACCGAUGAUCAAAUCGUUCCCCAUGGUGAAAAUCAAAGAUAGUCGACUAUUGCCUGAGUAAAUAACAACUCAGAAACUCGAAAUCAAAAGAUCGUAACAUGCAGAUGAAUCUGUUCUUAGAUCUGAAAUAUUAUGAAAGGGAACAGACGAUUACCAUGCUAUCAUCAUACGUCGGGGAUUCUGCAUAAAUCUGAAGAAACCUGAUGGAAACCACGAGCAAGAACAGUGGUGGAUUCAUUGUCUGCUCCGGCUGCAAGAGAGGAAAGGAUAUAUAAUACUACAACCGUGAAAGAUAAGUUCCUUUAAACAAUUGUAAAAAGAACUAUUUAUUUAAAUAGAAAGUUCUUAGACUUUUAGUCUGAUAUAUUCUGUUGUAAUAAGUAGACAGUAACAAACGCUUACAUUCUCAUCAGCCAAGAUGAAUUUUAUGGUUUCCCUUGAUAGUUGUAUGUUUUGUUUUCAAGAGUGUAGAACCUUCACAUGAAUAAACCAUGUAUUUUUCGAGGGACUCAAGUCUUUAAUGACAGUAACUUUUUCGUA